GUUCCAGGUCUUACAAAGAUCGGUCGGGCGGAGACUUGUCGUGCGAAAGAGGCGUAAAGAGGUGGGGGUCGCCGCAUUCGGAUCCGUCCUGAAGAUUUUCCACGAGCUGUUGUCUCUGGACAACGGGUACGCGAUCCAGAACUCAGAUAGAGGAAACAGAGACGUUUUAUGGCGUGUAGGAUACUAAAGAGGAUUCCAGCGACUUCGAGGCACAGACAAUGACAGUCUUUGCCGGUGUUGUGCACGUCUCCGGGGUUGACUGAGACACAACGAAAAGAGCGAACGGACUGGACUGACAACCGACAGAAUUCCUUGACGCUUUUCACUCGAGUCCAUGCAGGGUCAACAGAAAAGAUGCGUGGGAUUCAAAGGGCGAAAAAAGGUGUUUGCGCCAAAGCCAGUAGAUAGCCGUGUACCGGCGAAGCCUAAAACUCUUUUUUUGAGGUGGCAGCGAUAAAACGGAGGUUCUUCGCGAGCAGCGAACCACAGAAAUAGCCGGUUAGUUGUCAUUCGAAGCGAGCAAAUGUCAAGAAGACAGCGAGGGAGAGAAUGCAGCUGGACCGCCAACAGGGGACGAUCGGCACAGCGCAACUGGACGGUUUUGUUUGUCUCUGGGACUUAAAAAAACAUCAAAUCCAC
rnacentral:lncRNA from 1 species